AAUCACAGCGGGAUGUUUUAGUCACAUCACUGGACAAUGGUGAACAGAGAGAGAGAGAGCAGAGUCUUAGCAGCGGGACAGCCUGUGAUGCAGAAGAGCCACUAACAAAGCCCCAGUCACAGACGCUGCCCCCUAGGACUGGGACAAAGCUGUUACAGCUAGAGCUGCUCUGGUCCCCCCAGAGACCUCCAGAGCAACAGAGACAAACUUCUCAUCUAGAACCAAAGCCUGGACCAAGCACACAGUGUGACCCAGAGACAGAUCUUCACAUAGAGCAAGGUGGGAAGCUCCUACAAGCACCAGUUUCUGCAUAACUAGAACAGGAAGUGACAUCUUCAAUGGAGGGGACGCCACAGGGGUCAAAGCUGGAGACUGGGGUGUCCACUGGUCAACCUGUAAAAGGGGCGGGACCGAACACAUUCACCAAGCCAAGAGAGAACCACGAGGCACCUGAGGAAGAGUGUGAGGAGGAGGAAGAGGGGUCAAAUGGAGGUGGGCGUCAGAGGGGUGGGCGGCAGUCCCCUGACGAGAAGCCUGGCAGCAAAAAUGCUUCAAAGUACAGCACCGUAUCCUACAGGAAGAUACGAAAAGGGAACACCAAACAGAGGAUUGAUGAGUUUGAGUCCAUGGUAAACACAUAACCCUGAUGUCAAUGUACUCCGUAAGACCAUCCUGAACAGUCAUACCAAGAACAGAGAUUUGGACUAACAGUGAGCUAACUGCAAAAUAUACUUGGAUGAUAAUUAUUCUGUGACUUGUAGAUUCACGCUGCACACGUAGAUCAGACUUACGGUAAAUUAGUUGAUGUUGACAGACCUUGAGACAAGAAGGUCUACGUUUAGAAAAAUAUACUUUACACAUACACUGAGUGUACAAAACAUUAAGAACACCUUCCUAAUAUUGUGUUGCAGAACAGCCUCAAUUUGUGGACUCUACAAGGUGUCGAAAGGAUGCUGGCCCAUGUUGACUCCAGUGCUUCCCAUAGUUGUGCCAAGUUGGCUGGUGGACCAUUCUUCAUACUCACGGGAAACUGUUGAGCAUGAAAAUCCCAGUAGCGUUGCAAUUCUUGAUACAAACCGGUGCGCCUGGCACCUACUACCAUACCCCGUUCUUGCCCAUUCACACUCUGAAUGGCAUACACAAUCCAUGUCUCAAUUGUCUCAAGGCUUAAAAAUCCUUCUUUAACCCGUCUCCUCCCUUUCAUCUACACUGAUUGAAGUGGAUUUAACAAGUGACAUCAAUAAGGGAUCAUCUUUCACCUGGAUUCACCUGGUCAGUCUGUCAUGUAAAGAGCACUCAGUGUACUUUACAUUUACGGACACAAGGUGGCGCUUGAGAUCUAGAUUAACUAAGGACCAAACAGCAGGCUGUGUGUGUGUGUGUGUGUGUGUGUGUGUGUCUUCACACAUGGUCUCCCUUCCUGUCCCUCCUCCACUGAUAAGAGGGCUCAUUAAUUCUCAGGCCCAUGGUCAAUAUCUGUGUGUGAGACAGAGAGAGAGAGAGAGAGAGAGAGAGAGAGAGAAAGAUGAGCCCAUUUAGCAAAGCAGUAUGGUCAGACGGCAGCAUAGUUGAGGCUAGACUGCAGUGCCACCUGCUACGUUAGUUCUCCUAACCUGCUAUGUUAGUUCUCCUAACAUGCUACAUUCAUUCUCCUAACCUGCUAUGUUAGUUCAUCUAACCUGCUGAGUAAGUUCUCCUAACCUGCUAUGUUAGUUCUCCUAACCUGCUACGUUAGUUCUCCUAACCUGCUACGUUAAUUCUUCUAACCUGCUGAGUAAGUUCUCCUAACCUGCUACGUUAAUUCUCCUAACCUGCUGAGUAAGUUCUCCUAACCUGCUACUAAAAGCCCCCCCACCACAAAACAUCUUUCUGCGACCAUGAUAGUGCCGUUGGCAUUGUAACAUAGUGGUUGAUUGAAUUUCAAAUUCAAAUUACGAUGUGGAGGAGUAGAUGAAAGUGAUUUGUGUGUGAAAGUGAUCUAAAUGUAGCUAAUGUCACAGAUUACGGCAGCUUGGAAUGUGACAUUUAAGACUUCAUUAAUAUUUAUAGAGUGUAUUUCAUUGUGCCCUUACUGCCUGCAUUCACAUACAUAUCUACAGAAACUAAAGGAGCAAUCCUGGGCCAAUCAUGCCCAUUAAGAAAGGUAGUAAACAUCAUAGGUCUAAUGAGCUGUUUCCCUCCAUUCUAAUCUUGAUUUAGCUGUUGUGACCUGGUGAAUUAUGACAACUAGAUUAGUUGCCUUUGCCAAUUUGUCUCUUGGAAGUUUGUUUCAUGUUUGUGUUUUUUCUUAUGCUGCACGGUGUCGUAAAAUGUAUUUGAUGACAUUUUCCAAAGCUAACUUUGUAUUCACCUUAGCAUAUUGUCAACAAUAUAGCCCUUUCUUGUCUCUG